CCCUGAUGUUAGGGCGGAGGGGUGAGUAACAUGUGCGUAACCUGCCUGUAAGACUGGGAUAACUCCGGGAAACCGGGGCUAAUACCGGAUGGUUGUUUGAACCGCAUGGUUCAGACAUAAAAGGUGGCUUCGGCUACCACUUACAGAUGGACCCGCGGCGCAUUAGCUAGUUGGUGAGGUAACGGCUCACCAAGGCGACGAUGCGUAGCCGACCUGAGAGGGUGAUCGGCCACACUGGGACUGAGACACGGCCCAGACUCCUACGGGAGGCAGCAGUAGGGAAUCUUCCGCAAUGGACGAAAGUCUGACGGAGCAACGCCGCGUGAGUGAUGAAGGUUUUCGGAUCGUAAAGCUCUGUUGUUAGGGAAGAACAAGUGCCGUUCAAAUAGGGCGGCACCUUGACGGUACCUAACCAGAAAGCCACGGCUAACUACGUGCCAGCAGCCGCGGUAAUACGUAGGUGGCAAGCGUUGUCCGGAAAUUAUUGGGCGUAAAGGGCUCGCAGGCGGUUUCUUAAGUCUGAUGUGAAAGCCCCCGGCUCAACCGGGGAGGGUCAUUGGAAACUGGGGAACUUGAGUGCAGAAGAGGAGAGUGGAAUUCCACGUGUAGCGGUGAAAUGCGUAGAGAUGUGGAGGAACACCAGUGGCGAAUGCGACUCUCUGGGUCUGUAACUGACGCUGAGGACGAAAGCGUGGGGGAGCGAACAGGAUUAGAUACCCUGGUAGUCCACGCCGUAAACGAUGAGUGCUAAGUGUUAGGGGGUUUCCCCCCCUUAGUGCUGCACUAACGCAUUAAGCACUCCGCCUGGGGGAGUACGGUCGCAAGACUGAAACUCAAAGAAUUGACGGGGGCCCGCACAAACCGUUGGAGCAUGUGGUUUAAUUCGAAGCAACGCGAAGAACUUACCAGGGCUUGACAUCCUCUGACAAUCCUAUGAAAUAGGACGUCCCCUUCGGGGGGCAGAGUGACAGGUGGUGCAUGGUUGUCUUCCGCUCGUGUCGAUAAAAUUUGGGUUAAUUCCCCAAACCACGGCACCCUUGAUCUUUUUUGCCA
rnacentral:rRNA from 1 species